CAUGCCUCCAGAGGCAUUGCAGAUGUGGCUGCUGUGUCACAUUUGUGUCAUUAGGUUGCAGAGAGAAGAAAGGCUGUGUCUACACUUGCUCAGGGUUCUGACCUGUGAAUACCUGAAUGAUUAAUAGUCUGACAUU
rnacentral:snoRNA from 1 species